UACGAAGGGGGCUAGCGUUGCUCGGAAUCACUGGGCGUAAAGGGUGCGUAGGCGGGUCUUUAAGUCAGGGGUGAAAUCCUGGAGCUCAACUCCAGAACUGCCUUUGAUACCGAAGAUCUUGAGUCCGGGAGAGGUGAGUGGAACUGCGAGUGUAGAGGUGAAAUUCGUAGAUAUUCGCAAGAACACCAGUGGCGAAGGCGGCUCACUGGCCCGGUACUGACGCUGAGGCACGAAAGCGUGGGGAGCGAACAGG
rnacentral:rRNA from 1 species